GNNAUGCCGCGUGCAGGAAGACUGCCCUAUGGGUUGUAAACUGCUUUUAUACGGGAAGAAACCUAGUCACGUGUGACUAGCUGACGGUACCGUAAGAAUAAGGAUCGGCUAACUCCGUGCCAGCAGCCGCGGUAAUACGGAGGAUCCAAGCGUUAUCCGGAAUCAUUGGGUUUAAAGGGUCCGUAGGUGGAUAAUUAAGUCAGGGGUGAAAGUCUGCAGCUCAACUGUAGAAUUGCCCUUGAUACUGGUUAUCUUGAAUUAUUGUGAAGUGGUUAGAAUAUGUAGUGUAGCGGUGAAAUGCAUAGAUAUUACAUAGAAUACCAAUUGCGAAGGCAGAUCACUAACAAUAUAUUGACACUGAUGGACGAAAGCGUGGGGAGCGAACAGGAUUAGAUACCCUGGUAGUCCAUCAGUGUCAAUAUAUUGUUAGUGAUCUGCCUUCGCAAUUGGUAUUCUAUGUAAUAUCUAUGCAUUUCACCGCUACACUACAUAUUCUAACCACUUCACAAUAAUUCNNNAUAACCAGUAUCAAGGGCAAUUCUACAGUUGAGCUGCAGACUUUCACC
rnacentral:rRNA from 1 species